AUUGAACGCUGGCGGCAGGCCUAACACAUACAAGUCGAGCGGAUGAUGGGAGCUUGCUCCCGGAUUCAGCGGCGGACGGGUGAGCAAUGCCUAGGAAUCUGCCUGGUAGUGGGGGACAACGUCUCGAAAGGGACGCUAAUACCGCAUACGUCCUACGGGAGAAAGCAGGGGACCUUCGGGCCUUGCGCUAUCAGAUGAGCCUAGGUCGGAUUAGCUAGUUGGUGAGGUAAUGGCUCACCAAGGCGACGAUCCGUAACUGGUCUGAGAGGAUGAUCAGUCACACUGGAACUGAGACACGGUCCAGACUCCUACGGGAGGCAGCAGUGGGGAAUAUUGGACAAUGGGCGAAAGCCUGAUCCAGCCAUGCCGCGUGUGUGAAGAAGGUCUUCGGAUUGUAAAGCACUUUAAGUUGGGAGGAAGGGUUGUACGUUAAUACCGUGCAAUUUUGACGUUACCGACAGAAUAAGCACCGGCUAACUCUGUGCCAGCCGCCGCAGUAAUAC
rnacentral:rRNA from 1 species